rnacentral:rRNA from 1 species
CUACGGGGGGCUCCAGUGGGGAAUAUCGCACAAUGGAGGAAACUCUGAUGCAGCAACGCCGCGUGGAGGAUGACACUUUUCGGAGCGUAAACUCCUUUUAUAUAGGAAGAAGAUGACGGUACUAUAUGAAUAAGCGCCGGCUAACUCCGUGCCAGCAGCCGCGGUAAUACGGAGGGCGCAAGCGUUACUCGGAGUCACUGGGCGUAAAGAGCGUGUAGGCGGAUUAAAAAGUCAGAAGUGAAAUCCUAUAGCUUAACUAUAGAACUGCUUCUGAAACUCUUAAUCUAGAAUAUGGGAGAGGUAGGUGGAAUUUCUGGUGUAGGGGUAAAAUCCGUAGAGAUCAGAAGGAAUACCGAUUGCGAAGGCGAUCUACUAGAACAUUAUUGACGCUGAGACGCGAAAGCGUGGGGAGCAAACAGGAUUAGAUACCCCUGUAGUC